CUUGGCAAGUCACUUCUUCCAGAUGACUCAACAAAAGAUGCUAAAUCAAGCAGAAUUUUGGCAGCCACUCUUUUGGAAAGGAUGCUCAAGAACAGACAUUGGAGACCUGCACAUGCUCCUUAAAGUUGGAAGGAAGUCUGUCUGGGCAUAGAGAGCACAUGAAAAAAGAUCGAUGAGAAACAACCUAGUGCAUGUAUAAACUACAAGCAAUUUCUUAUGGUUGAAUUACUCAGUACAAGACAAUAAAUAGAGAGAGGAAAGGACAUUGUUGGAGGAUGAAUGAUAGGGGACAGUCUUUGAGAAUCUCUCUCCAAAAAAACAGAACUGUUAACUUACAUAAUGUUCUAGCAUUGUCUUUGAUUCUCUGGUAUUCAUUAGAAAUUUUCCUGAUUUGUAGAAAAUGAGAUGUUGUGUAGAUCUGUAAACCUGUGACUGUCAAGGAAUAAAUACAAAAGUUGGUUUUUAACUAGGACUGUUUAUAAACGGUUUGCCAUGCACCCAAAGCUAGGAACUUUGUUGAUGUGUGUUAUACAUUUAUAAAGCCUUUGUAAACUAGUCGAGUCUUAUGGGCCUGGAAACCACUUUUUUUUCUU